rnacentral:rRNA from 1 species
UAGGGAAUCUUCGGCAAUGGGGGCAACCCUGACCGAGCAACGCCGCGUGAGUGAAGAAGGUUUUCGGAUCGUAAAGCUCUGUUGUAAGAGAAGAACGUGUGUGAGAGUGGAAAGUUCACACAGUGACGGUAACUUACCAGAAAGGGACGGCUAACUACGUGCCAGCAGCCGCGGUAAUACGUAGGUCCCGAGCGUUGUCCGGAUUUAUUGGGCGUAAAGCGAGCGCAGGCGGUUUAAUAAGUCUGAAGUUAAAGGCAGUGACUUAACCAUUGUUCGCUUUGGAAACUGUUAAACUUGAGUGCAGAAGGGGAGAGUGGAAUUCCAUGUGUAGCGGUGAAAUGCGUAGAUAUAUGGAGGAACACCGGUGGCGAAAGCGGCUCUCUGGUCUGUAACUGACGCUGAGGCUCGAAAGCGUGGGGAGCAAACAGG